rnacentral:rRNA from 1 species
UACGAGGGGAGCAAGCGUUGUUCGGAAUUACUGGGCGUAAAGGGCUCGUAGGUGGCCAACUAAGUCAGACGUGAAAUCCCUCAGCUUAACUGGGGAACUGCGUCUGAUACUGGAUGGCUUGAGUUUGGGAGAGGGAUGCGGAAUUCCAGGUGUAGCGGUGAAAUGCGUAGAUAUCUGGAGGAACACCGGUGGCGAAGGCGGCAUCCUGGACCAACACUGACACUGAGGAGCGAAAGCCAGGGGAGCAAACGGG